CAGCCGCCACGGUAAUACGGAGGGGGCUAGCGUUGUUCGGAAUUACCGGGCGUAAAGCGCACGUAGGCGGCUUGGUAAGUUAGAGGUGAAAGCCUGGAGCUCAACUCCAGAAUUGCCUUUAAGACUGCCGAGCUAGCAGGUGAGAGAGGUAAGUGGAAUUCCGAGUGUAGAGGUGAAAUUCGUAGAUAUUCGGAAGAACACCAGUGGCGAAGGCGGCUUACUGGCUCAUACUGGACGCUGAGGUGCGAAAGCGUGGGGAGCAAACAGGAUUAGAUACCCGCGUAGUCCCUGUCUCUUAUAC
rnacentral:rRNA from 1 species